rnacentral:lncRNA from 1 species
UUCUUGGAGGUUUCCAUUUUCGUGAGUUUCUAUUCUCGGCUUUGGGCUUUUGGAUGACCCAUCAUUACUUCUUGGACCUAUGUCGCACCUAAACCCUAACCCUAGCCACUUAAUCAGCCGCACCUAGGCCUUGUUCACAUGCAAAAAUCUGAUUAGUAACCCUAAGCCCAUGCCGCACCUUUCCAUCCUAGAAGCCCUAUUUUACAAACCUUAACCCUAGUCCACUUAAGUAGCCGCACCUAACCCUAGCCCAAUCUGAUUUCUUUAGGGUUUUAGGUGCCUAUAUAUAUGUGUUUUACACCUUGCCGCAUAUAAUCUCCCUCUCCACAAAUCAGAAAUCAUCCAACCCUUAUUUCCCCACCUUGCCGCAGCCACCAUCCUCCAUAUACCUCCUUGCCGCAGCCUUCAUCCAUUCCAGCCACUUCCCAACCUUGCCGCAGCUACCAUCCACCUCCAUACACCAUCCUACACCUCCAUACACCAUCCCUACCCCUUGCCGCACCACCAUACCAUCCUAACUCCCUUCUAAAACCAAAAUCACAUCCAAAAACACCCUAAACCCUCUCUGCCGCAGCAAGGAGAAGAAGAAAGAGGAGCUUGAAGUCAGAAAUUCAAAGUGGAAUUCUUGGGCGUUUUAGGUGUAAUCUUUCUUAUGUCUUCGAUGUUUCAAUUCAAUAAACUUUGUGUUGUGAGUAUGAGGAACUAAACCCCCUUACUUGGGGGGUAAUUCGAAACCAUGUACAUGCUUGCAAUAUGAUUUGAUUACAUUCAGUUGUUAUUUCAUAAGUUGUGGAUUCAAUUCGUUCAUCUAUUUGAUUGAUGACUUAUUUGUGUAUGUUGAUUGAGAGUGCACGCUUAGAUUUCAUGCAUGAAUAUGAUGCUAGAUUAUGAGGGAGUUUCACCUAAUAGUUACAAUCUUAUAAUCACAAGUAGUGAAGGUCGCUUGAAAACGAUCGCGUUGAAUGAAUUCUUAGCAUAAGUUUCAUGCAAUUCAUAGUGACAAAUGCUUCGUCAAUGCUUAUGUUUUUCAUAGAACGUAAUGAUUCGUGCUUGUAUCUCUAUUAUGCAAUUCAUGUAGGGAACUUGUAGGGAAUGUUUUGGGCUGUCGUAUGCAAUCAUCCAACCUAAUAACUUGUGGAAAAACUGAGGGUUAAUUAGUGCAAUUCACGGUUAAUUUGGGGCGUUGAGUAUUCAUAGUUUAUUGGAAGAACAACUGAAAAUCGUUUUGUUUGCAAGUGUGACAUGUGUGGAGAAGAACCUCCUAACUAGCCUUUUAACCAUCUAUUUCACCAAAAUCGUUUUUACAAUCUGUGUUAGUUAAAGUUUCUGUUUUGUGUUAAAUUUU